rnacentral:rRNA from 5 species
CAGACCUCUAAUCGGAAAAGACUACCCGCUGAGUUUAAGCAUAUCACUAAGCGGAGGAGAAGAAACUAACCAGGAUUUCCCUAGU